AUUGAACGCUGGCGGCAGGCUUAACACAUGCAAGUCGAGCGGGGUGAUGGUGCUUGCACUAUCACUUAGCGGCGGACGGGUGAGUAAUGCUUAGGAAUCUGCCUAUUAGUGGGGGACAACAUCUCGAAAGGGAUGCUAAUACCGCAUACGUCCUGCUGGAGAAAGCAGGGGCUCACUUGUGACCUUGCGCUGAUAGAUGAGCCUAAGUCGGAUUAGCCAGUUGGUGGGGCAAAGGCCUACCAAGGCGACGAUCUGUAGCGGGUCUGGGAGGAUGAUCCGCCACACUGGGACUGAGACACGGCCCAGAAUCCUACGGGAGGCAGCAGUGGGGAAUAUUGGACAAUGGGGGGAACCCUGAUCCAGCCAUGCCGCGUGUGUGAAGAAGGCCUUAUGGUUGUAAAGCACUUUAAGCGAGGAGGAGGCUCUUUUGGUUAAUACCCAAGAUGAGUGGACGUUACUCGCAGAAUAAGCACCGGCUAACUCUGUGCCAGCCGCCGCGGUAA
rnacentral:rRNA from 1 species